rnacentral:rRNA from 1 species
AGCUCCAAUAGCGUAUAUUAAAGUUGUUGCAGUUAAAAAGCUCGUAGUUGGAUUUCUGGUCGAGGCGUCCGGUCCGCUCCUCACGGAGUGUGUACUAGUUGAUGUCCUUAGCCAUCCUUGUGGAGAGCGUCUUUGGCAUUAAGUUGUCGAGGUCGGGAUCUGCAUCAUUUACUGUGAAAAAUUAGAGUGUUUAAAGCAGGCAAUUGCUGUGAAUACAUUAGCAUGGAAUAAUAAGAUAGGACCUUGGGUCUAUUUUGUUGGUUUGCAACCUAGGGUAAUGAUUAACAGGGACAGUUGGGGGUAUUCGUAUUUAAUUGUCAGAGGUGAAAUUCUUGGAUUUAUGAAAGACGAACUACUGCGAAAGCAUUUACCAAGGAUGUUUUCA